AGUGAACGCUGGUGGUAGGCCUAACACAUGCAAGUCGAACGGCAGCACAGGAGAGCUUGCUCUCUGGGUGGCGAGUGGCGGACGGGUGAGGAAUACAUCGGAAUCUACUCUGUCGUGGGGGAUAACGUAGGGAAACUUACGCUAAUACCGCAUACGACCUACGGGUGAAAGCAGGGGACCUUCGGGCCUGGCGCGAUUGGAUGAGCCGAUGUCGGAUUAGCUAGUUGGCGGGGUAAAGGCCCACCAAGGCGACGAUCCGUAGCUGGUCUGAGAGGAUGAUCAGCCACACUGGAACUGAGACACGGUCCAGACUCCUACGGGAGGCAGCAGUGGGGAAUAUUGGACAAUGGGCGCAAGCCUGAUCCAGCCAUACCGCGUGGGUGAAGAAGGCCUUCGGGUUGUAAAGCCCUUUUGUUGGGAAAGAAAUCCAGCUGGCUAAUACCCGGUUGGGAUGACGGUACCCAAAGAAUAAGCACCGGCUAACUUCGUGCCAGCCGCCGCAGUAA
rnacentral:rRNA from 1 species